rnacentral:rRNA from 1 species
AUUGAACGCUGGCGGCAUGCCUAACACAUGCAAGUCGAACGGCAGCACGGCAGUAGCAAUACUGUGGGUGGCGAGUGGCGGACGGGUGAGGAAUACGUCGGAAUCUGCCCAAUCGUGGGGGAUAACUAACCGAAAGGUUAGCUAAUACCGCAUACGACCGAGAGGUGAAAGCGGGGGACCGCAAGGCCUCGCGCGAUUGGAUGAGCCGACGUCGGAUUAGCUUGUUGGUGGGGUAAAGGCCUACCAAGGCAACGAUCCGUAGCUGGUCUGAGAGGAUGAUCAGCCACACUGGAACUGAGACACGGUCCAGACUCCUACGGGAGGCAGCAGUGGGGAAUAUUGGACAAUGGGCGCAAGCCUGAUCCAGCAAUGCCGCGUGUGUGAAGAAGGCC